rnacentral:rRNA from 2 species
ACGGAAGGCAGCAGUGGGGAAUAUUGCACAAUGGGCGAAAGCCUGAUACAGCGACGCCGCGUGAGUGAAGAAGUAUCUCGGUAUGUAAAGCUCUAUCAGCAGGGAAGAAAAUGACGGUACCUGACUAAGAAGCCCCGGCUAACUACGUGCCAGCAGCCGCGGUAAUACGUAGGGGGCAAGCGUUAUCCGGAUUUACUGGGUGUAAAGGGAGCGUAGACGGUUUGGCAAGUCUGAAGUGAAAUGCGGGGGCUCAACUCCUGAACUGCUUUGGAAACUGUCGAACUAGAGUGCAGGAGAGGUAAGUGGAAUUCCUAGUGUAGCGGUGAAAUGCGUAGAUAUUAGGAGGAACACCAGUGGCGAAGGCGGCUUACUGGACUGUAACUGACGUUGAGGCUCGAAAGCGUGGGGAGCAAACAGGAUUAGAUACCCUGGUA